GUGAGAGAGAUAAAAGCAGAGAGGGAGACAAAGAGAGAAGCAGAGUGAGAGAGAGAGAGAGUGAGACAGGAAGAUAGGAAGCUUUAAGUAAACAUAAACGCACGCAUGCAUAAAGACACAACACAUACAUACAUACAUACAUGUGUGCGUGUAUACAUACAUACGUACAUACAUGCAUAUAUGUGUGUGUGUGUGUGUAUGUAUAUAUGCAUAUACAUAUUUCAUAAAUUUAUUUAUAUAAACACACACACACACACACACACACACCAGGAAUGAAGAGAGUUAAUUCAAAGACAGACAUAUAUACACAUACAGCGAAUGAAGAUCACACAGAUAAAAGCACACAUAUACACACACACACAAUAUAUACAUAUACAUAUAAAAGUGUGUGGGGAGAGGUGUUAUUGAAUAUGUGUGCGUAAGGGAUGAGAAAGAAAGAGAGAGGGUUGGAAAAAGAAAAGCAGAACAUGGACAGUAAGUGAGAGAGAGAGAGAAAGAGAGAGAGAAAACGUGUGCAUGUGGUAUGUGUGAGUGAGCGUGUGUAUGUGUGUGUGUGUGAGUUGUAUGAGGAGUAGUUGGGGGAGAAGGAAGAGGAGAUGGAAGGGGAGAGAGAGGGGUAGUCAGUUAAGCGAGGAGAAAUUACAAGACUGCGGACAGCUUGUUUCGCAAGCUUUCGGAAGGAGAACCCAUAAUAAUAAUAAUAAUAAUAAUAAAGAAAAAGAGAGUGAACAAGCACUCCAACAACAAUAAAAACAACACUAAAAACAAAAGGAAGAACAGAAAUACAAACAUCCAUACUAAUCCGGAAAAAUGUAUCUGUAGUACGGGCCUGUAUACACAUAUAUAUACAUACAUUAUAUAUAUAUAUAGUACAUAUAUGAUAUAGACAUAUAUAUACAUAUAUAUAUACACAUAUGUAUGUAUAUAUAGGCGCACCGACGUUUUUCUUAAAUUCUUAACUCUACUUUCUUUCAAUUUUACCACCUCUCCCUCUCCCUCACUUUCUCCCUUUCCCUCUCUCUCUCUCUCUCACUGUUUCCAGUCUCACUCUCUACUUCUCUUUCACUUCACUACCUCCGCCUUCGUUUCGUUCUCUAUCCAUGCUUUCUUGUUGUUCUUCUCCUUCUCCUUCUAAUCGUUCUCUCUCUCUCUCUCUCUGACUUUCUCGAUCUCUGUAUCUCUCUCUCUCUCUCUCUUUCGUUCGCUCUCUCACUCACUCACUCUCUCUCUCUCUCUCGCUAUCCAUUCUUUCCUUUCUUCCUUUCUUCCUUCCUUCCUUCCACAACUACUUCUUGUGUUCUUCAAAUCACACAUGGACUUAAACGGGGAUGUACACGAUCACAGUUUCUAGGUACAACUGGCCACAACAAAUAUUUUGGAAUGAUGUAAUCGUAGGAAAACGUGCAAAGAGCAAUGCAGAGAAAUGACAAGCUUUUACAUGCGACCGUCCUGGCCAUUCUUAACCUUCUGCUUAUAUCUGCGCGAAUGGGCUUGUCCCUUUCGCCCUCUUUGUGUUAAUGGAUUUACCACGCCACGUUUAUAACUCAACGGAAAAUCUUUGGAUUAAUUUCCCGACGUUGGAACAUUUUAGUCUCCACCCUGCUUACCUUGGGGUGAAAAGGACACGGUUUGUUUUUAAACCUUUUUGUAUUUCCUAUUCUAUAAACUUUAUUUACUACAAACACGAAUUGACUUCGUUUCAUGGAUGAAUUCGCUACAGCAGUGGCGACAUUGAUGCAAACUGGCACAUCCCGCCACAAGAUGCAAAUAAAUAAAUAUAAGCAAUAAAUUUUUUAAAAAAACAUAUUUAUAAAAGAUAACCAACAAAACAAGAAAAUAAAACAACCACUAAACAAACAGAUACAACAAACAUUACAAACAAAUAAAUAACGAAUUUGUGAAAAAAAAAUAAUAAUAACAUGAGUUUUGUUAUGGAGUAACCCACAAACAAUAUUUGGACAUUCGUCUAGUCGAAGAAAAUAAGUGAUAUGGGAGAUGUGUGUUAUUGAGGAUAGUGUUGCUUGAAGAACACAUACAGAAACAGGCAAGAAGGAAACUAAUUAAAAAAAUGCAUCAAUAAAAUAAAAGAUGCCCUGAAGAGAGCUCUAGGACAAGAAGCCCGAGUGGAUACGAAGAAGGAUGUGAUUUUCAUGAAAUGCUGCAAAGUAAAGGACAGUGUCCGCCUGAUUUUCACACCGAUGAAAAGUUGAGGUGAUUCGUCAGUUUGGUGUACCAUAGCUAUGAUCAUUGGCUCAUAAUACAAUACUUAGGCCCAUUCAAUAUAGGAGAGAUAGCCAGGGAUAGGGAGUAGCAAUUGGAACCCUUGACUGUGAGGGAAACUAUCAAAAGAAAUGACGUGGUCGGAGGUUGUUAGUUGAGUAGAGAGUAGCAAGUUCUAAUCUUAGUUUCUCUGAACAAAGCAUACAACUAUUCCAAACCUGUCGCAGGUGUAGAAACAAAAGAAUUGUGACUAGCUGUGCAACGCAAGAAGCCAAGCUAUUGUAGUUGUACUAAAAGGUAUUUUAGAAGAAUCUGUAUCGAAGAAUGAGAAAGACAGAGAAAGAAAGUGAUUGAGGUGGGGAGAGCAACGGAAAAGGCAAAAAUCACAACAGCUCUAGAGUGUGUUGUUUUAAAAAUACUUUCAGUUUUAUCGCCUCUGGCAGGUCCGAGGAUGGUCAAAGAACACGAUUCACUUCCUUGGACAUAAGUCAAUAUCCACAGCUACUAUUAAGCCCCAUCCCCACGAUAUCCGUGUGGGGGUGGGGGUGGACAUGGAGUAGUGAAAAGGGUUGAUGAUGUGGGCGUCAAUACAAAAGGCAAAAAAGAUUUUAAAAGAGGUGACCACAAAUGAAAGUCGAUCCCCAAAUAAACGCAUUGAAAAUAAAAUAUACUCGAAACGAAACGGAAGAAAACAGAAAGAGAAAGAAUGUGUCGUUUGUAGAGCAGACGAAAAAUAAUGAACUGCUAAUAAAAUACAAUUUGUCUACGAUCCGUGAAGGUGCGUGGCUUAGUGGUUGGGGCAUUCGGCUCACGAUCGUGAGUUCAAUUCCCGGCGACGCGUUGUGUCCUUGAGCAAGACAUUUUAUUUCACGUUGCUCCAGUCCACUCACCUGGCAAAAAUGAGUAGUACCUGUAAUUCAAAAGGGCCAGCCUUGUCUGUCACACUCUGUGUCAAACUGAAUUGCCCUGAGAACUACGUUAAGGGUACACGUGUCUGUAGAGUACUCAGCCACUUGCACGUUAAUUUCACGAGCAAGUGGUUCCGUUGAUCGUAUCAUCUGGGACCCUCGUCGUCGUAACCGACGGAAUGCUCCUAAAGUCUACGAUCCACUACUGUGCAACCACAAAGGGACUGUGAAUGAUUUCUCGCCUGAUCUAAUACCAAAAGAUGCUCGCUGGCGCCUUCGGGUGUUGUUUCAUGUAGGAGACCACAGUGUGUGGUGCACGGCCCGACUGAAUUGUUAUGUUUUGUACGCGGUUUGGUAACUCUAACUGGCCUUCGUUUCUUUAUUGAUUUGCACUGUUUUCAAUCAUAAUACGCGCGCGCGUGUGUGUGUGUGAGUGAGAUAGGGGGGGAGUAUGUAUAAUUAGGUUUUUCAUCAAUGGUAGAUCUAUAACAAAUGUUUUAUUUAUUCUUUAAUAUCUCUCCCGUUUCCUUUGUUUUAUUUCAACAUUGUUCGACCAUCCCUCACGUUUGUAUCCCUUAGGUCUAGCGUUUUCACUGUAUGGGAAAACAAUAAAAGUAAAUAUCAUUAUUA